UAGGGAAUCUUCCGCAAUGGGCGAAAGCUUGACGGAGCAACGCCGCGUGAGUGAUGAAGGUCUUCGGAUCGUAAAACUCUGUUAUUAGGGAAGAACAAAUGUGUAAGUAACUAUGCACGUCUUGACGGUACCUAAUCAGAAAGCCACGGCUAACUACGUGCCAGCAGCCGCGGUAAUACGUAGGUGGCAAGCGUUAUCCGGAAUUAUUGGGCGUAAAGCGCGCGUAGGCGGUUUUUUAAGUCUGAUGUGAAAGCCCACGGCUCAACCGUGGAGGGUCAUUGGAAACUGGAAAACUUGAGUGCAGAAGAGGAAAGUGGAAUUCCAUGUGUAGCGGUGAAAUGCGCAGGGAUAUGGAGGAACACAAGUGGCGAAGGCGACUUUCUGGUCUGUAACUGACGCUGAUGUGCGAAAGCGUGGGGAUCAAACAGG
rnacentral:rRNA from 1 species